AAAAUUUUAAUUUAUUGGUUAGUCGUGAUCUGCUUUUGAAGAUGAAUAGUCAUCUUUGGAGAAUUAAGUCAAUGCAUUGAGAAGCAAAACCUCACUGGAAGUUUUGGUUAAUGCAUGCCCAGGGACAGUGAAGGAAGGUGGGAGAGUGAAAGAAAAAAGCUUGCUGAAAAUUCUAGGUUGAAGGGGCUUGUGCGGCUAGCUUGUUCUUGAAGAUUGCACACUGGUUUCUUGUUCAAUUGAGCUGUAAUUUUGGCGAAUUGUUUGCAACUAGUUGUUCUUCUUUGCGGUUGGUGCGAUUGUGGUUUGGAGCUCUUUAGGACUGGUUUUUGUUGCUGGGACAGCAGCAUCUAUUUUUGGUAAUGCCAAUUCAUUGAGAAGCAAAACUUCACUAGAAGUUCGGUGGGAGAGUGAAAGAAAAGAGCUUGUUGAAAAUUCCAGGUUGAAGGGGCUUGCGUAGUUUGCUUGUUCUUGAAGAUUGCACAUUGGUUUCUUGUCCAAUUGAGCUGUAAUUUGGGCAACAUGUUUGCGGACAGAGUGAUUGUGGUUUGGAGCUCUCUCGGACUGGUUUUCAUUGCUGGGACAGCAGCAUCUAUUUUUGGGUAAGACAUCUCCACCUUUUAUUCUUGUUCUCCACCUUGUUAUUGAUGGCUUAUUAUUGCGUUUGGUGUCAAGCAUUUUUUGUUCUUAAUGAAUAUAGGUGAUGCAUGACUCUAGUUUCAAUUAGAGAAGAUUUAUUGUGAUUCUGCUAUUUUGACCAGGUGGAAGAUUGGACUUGGAUUUAAAUCUGAUGAUUUUUCCUUAACAGUAAAGGGUUUUCCACUUUAAUCUUGAUAUCCUGUGUGUGUGUUUUUUAUAUUUGUGAUUAUUGAUCACUCUUGUUAUUUUGGUUAUUGACCAUUCUACUUGGUGUUAAUUUGAAUAAAAAAAGCUUUAUUUGGGGCUAUUGUGUUA